CCUACGGGAGGCAGCAGUGGGGAAUAUUGCGCAAUGGGCGAAAGCCUGACGCAGCGACGCCGCGUGAGGGAUGAAGGUCUUCGGAUCGUAAACCUCUGUCAGCAGGGAAGAACGGUCCCUGUGCUAAUCAGCAGUGAGUUGACGGUACCUGAGGAGGAAGCCACGGCUAACUACGUGCCAGCAGCCGCGGUAAUACGUAGGUGGCGAGCGUUGUCCGGAUUUACUGGGCGUAAAGGGAGCGUAGGCGGACUCUUAAGUGAGAUGUGAAAUACUCGGGCGCAACUUGGGUGCUGCAUUUCAAACUGGAAGUCUAGAGUGCAGGAGAGGAGAAUGGAAUGCCCAGUGUAGCGGUGAAAUGCGUAGAGAUUAGGAAGAACACCAGUGGCGAAGGCGAUGCUCUGGACUGUAACUGACGCUGAGGCUCGAAAGCGUGGGGAGCAAACAGGAUUAGAUACCCCAGUAGUC
rnacentral:rRNA from 1 species